UAGGGAAUAUUAGAAAUGGACGGAAGUCUGAUCUAGCAACACCGCGUGUGCGAAGAAGGCCUUCGGGUUGUAAAGCACUUUUUGGAAGGAUUAGGAAGGAAUGUACUUCCAGAAUAAGUCUCGGCUAACUACGUGCCAGCAGCCGCGGUAACACGUAGGCAGCAAACGUUAUCCGGAUUUACUGGGCGUAAAGCGCGUGUAGGUGGUUCUGUAAGUAGGGCGUGAAAGCUCCUGGCUCAACUGGGAGAGGCCGUUCUAAACUGCAGAGCUAGAGGAUGGUAGAGGGAGGUGGAAUUCCGGGUGUAGCGGUGGAAUGCGCAGAUAUUCGGAGGAACACCAGUGGCGAAAGCGGCCUCCUGGACCAUUCCUGACACUCAGACGCGAAAGCUAGGGUAGCAAACGG
rnacentral:rRNA from 1 species